UCCAGAUGCAGCGGCACUAUCUCCAUCACUGGUGAAAUGGGAAAUGACGAGUGGACGGUCAACACUUUGUAACUCCCCGAUACAGUUUGCGGCCCAUCUCUUCUCAUCUCCAAUGGUGGUCUCCGGAGGAAGGGUUGCAGUGUAGUCUUCGUGUCCUGGGCAGGUCUGUUGCAUGUUGGUGGCUGAAGCUGGUUCAAUAUUUGCACCAAGAAGCAUACCAAGCAUACCCUCUGUUGUAAGACUGGUACCCAGGUGACCGACAGCCAUGGCCACAUUUAGCUGUGCAGCUCUUCAUCCCCUUCCAGAUCUCCUCACCUCUUCGUAAAGCUUUUCUCGGUGACUGAUAUAGUGGCACUUCUUACAUCAUAUAAAAGGAUCCAUGCCAGGCCUCGUUUUUCCUCCCCAUGCUGAUUCCAGUCCAGUGAACCAUCACAGUAUGGAAACUUAUUCUUCUUAUGGGAACUAGAAAUUGGACUGGGCUGGUGGUCCCUAUAUUCUUCUGGCCUUUGUUGUGAGGAAUACUUCCUUUUUUGUAUUGAUGUUGAGGCAACCAUUUUGGUCCCUUUUUUGGCAUGAUUAUUAUUUAACUGUACACUUGUAGACUUUUUCUAA